rnacentral:rRNA from 1 species
ANCCUCCACCAGAAAGGGACACAUACGCUUAUGCUUCGUAUGUUUCGCCCCAAAGGAUGGGCCCGCGACCGAUCAGUUGUUGUGAGUUAAUGGCUCACCAACCUUUUACCGUGCGGCCGUGGGAGCGGAGCCCCGGAGAUGGCACUGAGACAAGGCCCAGGCCCUACGGGGCGCAGCAUCGCGAAAACUUUGCAAUAAGCGAAAGCUUGACAGGGCUAUCCCGAGUGCCAUCCGCUGAGGAAGGCUUUUACCCAGUCUAGAACGCUGGGGGAAUAAGGAGAGGGCAAUCUGGUGUCAGCCGCCGCGGUAAUACCAGCUCUCCGAGUGGUGUGGAUGUUUAUUGGGCCUAAAGCAUCCGUAGCUGGCUAAGUUAGUCCCUUGUUAAAUCCACCAAAUUAAUUGUUGGAUUGCGGGGGAUACUGCUUGGCUAGGGGACGAGAGAGGCAGACGGUAUUUUCGGGGUAGGGGUGAAAUCCUAUAAUCCCGCGGAAGACCACCAGUGGCGAAGCUGUCUGCUAGAACGCGCCCGACGGUGAGGGAUGAAAGCUGGGGGAGCGAACCGGAUUAGAUACCCGGGUAGUCCCAGCUGUAAACGAUGCAGACUAGGUGUUUGGACGGCCACGUGCCGUUCUAGUGCCGCAGGGAAGCUGUUAAGUCUGCCGCCUGGGAGUACGAUCGCAAGAUUGAAACUUAAAGGAAUUGGCGGGGGAGCAC